rnacentral:rRNA from 1 species
GAUGAACGCUAGCGACAGGCUUAACACAUGCAAGUCGAGGGGCAGCGGGCGAGUGGCAACACUUGCUGUCGGCGACCGGCGCACUGGUGAGUAACACGUAUGCAACCUGCCCCCUUCUGGGAGAUAACCCAUAGAAAUGUGGCCUAAUAUCCCAUAGUCGGUCCAGCCGCAUGGCCGGGCCGGGAAAGGCGAGCCGGAAGGGGAUGGGCAUGCGGCGCAUUAGCUAGUUGGCGGGGCAGAGGCCCACCAAGGCGACGAUGCGUAGGGGUUCUGAGAGGAAGGUCCCCCACAUUGGUACUGAGACACGGACCAAACUCC